UACGAAGGGUGCAAGCGUUACUCGGAAUUACUGGGCGUAAAGCGUGCGUAGGUGGUUUGUUAAGUCUGUUGUGAAAGCCCCGGGCUCAACCUGGGAAUGGCAAUGGAUACUGGCAAGCUAGAGUGCGGUAGAGGGUAGUGGAAUUCCCGGUGUAGCGGUGAAAUGCGUAGAGAUCGGGAGGAACACCAGUGGCGAAGGCGGCUACCUGGACCAGCACUGACACUGAGGCACGAAAGCGUGGUGAGCAAACAGG
rnacentral:rRNA from 1 species